rnacentral:rRNA from 1 species
AUUGAACGCUGGCGGCAUGCUUUACACAUGCAAGUCGAACGGUAACAGGCCGCAAGGUGCUGACGAGUGGCGAACGGGUGAGUAAUGCAUCGGAACGUGCCCAGUCGUGGGGGAUAACGCAGCGAAAGCUGCGCUAAUACCGCAUACGAUCUAUGGAUGAAAGCGGGGGACCGUAAGGCCUCGCGCGAUUGGAGCGGCCGAUGUCAGAUUAGGUAGUUGGCGGGGUAAAGGCUCACCAAGCCAACGAUCUGUAGCUGGUCUGAGAGGACGACCAGCCACACUGGGACUGAGACACGGCCCAGACUCCUACGGGAGGCAGCAGUGGGGAAUUUUGGACAAUGGGCGCAAGCCUGAUCCAGCAAUGCCGCGUGCAGGAAGAAGGCCUUCGGGUUGUAAACUGCUUUCGUACGGAACGAAACGGUCCUGGUUAAUACCUGGGGCUAAUGACGGUACCGUAAGAAUAAGCACCGGCUAACUACGUGCCAGCAGCCGCCGUAAUAC